UUUUAUGUUUGGUUCUUUAAACUAAAUAACUUGAUUUCAAGUCCUGGUCGUUGAGCAUCCAGGGUUCAUAUCCUGGAUGUGGUAUACCGGUGGAGUCCGGCAUAUGGCGGUGUAAUCUGGCACAGUGGGGCCCCAGGUGAACAGGGUGCCUCGUCACAUGACUCUUUAGCAAGCCCAUAUGUAGGUCGGGCAGCUGUGAAACUGCAGAAUUCAGUGGCCUGGACCUUCUGGUCUGAGUGAGCAAUGUGAUGAGUGUGGAGGCAGUUUAGUGACAUGUGCCUGGAGUAUGUUAAACGCUACUGGAACUUUGACUGGAACCAAGGUUUUUGGCAACAAAUGCUCAAGGUGGGUUUGGCGUUAACAGAAGGGUGACUAUACCGAAAAGAACUUGAUCUCCACUGUUAAGUGAGGUGGAGUUUAGGGUGUAAUGGUAUGGUGGAGGUGCUUACAUUUACACUGUAAUGACGGGAAGUAUGGUGGAGGUGCUUACAUUUACGCUGUAAUGACGGGAAGUAUGGUGGAGGUGCUUACAUUUACGGUGUAAUGACAGGAAGUAUGGUGGAGGUGCUUACAUUUACGGUGUAAUGACAGGAAGUAUGGUGGAGGUGCUUACAUUUACGGUGUAAUGACGGGAAGUAUGGUGGAGGUGCUUACAUUUACGGUGUAAUGACGGGAAGCAUGGUGGAGGUGCUUACAUUUACCCAGUAAUGACGGGAAGUAUGGUGGAGGUGCUUACAUUUACG
ensembl:lncRNA